GUUCGUUCUGAAAAUAUGUAUACAACGUGAGUAGAAGAAAAUGAACAGGGGGUGAGGGGUGUCGAGAGUCGAAGGGUUCGGGGGUUGAGGAUGAAGAGAGGGGUUUGUAGAUACCCGCUGGCGUGAAAAAAGGCUCGGGGUUAAAAGGCCACCUGAGAAUGAAUUGCUACAUUAGUGUGUAGAAGUAAAGAGUGGGGAAAGGGGGCAGGGUAGGGUUCGUUUGGUUCAAAGAUCGUUUCUCUCUUCGAUCUGUUCGAUUUAAAUAUUAUUUCUAUGUAUUAUUGUAUGUGUAACUGUGCGAGUAACUGGAUGAGUGUUAUAUGUAUUUCUGUGGACUUUUUAUAAGUACGAAGAUGUGUAUUUAUCAAAUUGUAUACAAUUGAUGAUAUUACUUUUGUUAAUUCUAAUUUUAGGAUUUGUUUCAUUUGUUAUUUAUAUAAUAUGUAUUUAUGAUGAUUUUAUUUAAUUAUUGAAUUUAAUUUUAAUUAGUAUUCUUCUCGAGUUGAAAUCGUAAGGAAUAAUGAAUAGAAUAGAAGAAAGAAAUCUUUUACGAUUUAUUAAUUAUGUUGCGUUAUUUUUUUAUCGUCAUUGCGUGUGUAUCGUUGUUAUUAAAUGAUCGAAUAAACUAAUCACCCGUUUACACUUUGAUUGCGCGCGCAUCGAUAUCUACCCUUCUCCCUCGGUUACACGCAACACAUAUAUAUUCUAUCUCUUUCUUUCCCUUUUUUCGAACUCGUUCCAGUAAAGCUCGAAUUUCAAAAUGUCGCCCGCGGGUAGACCUUUGCUCUUAAAGUUAAAAGGACAAUCGCGAAAAAUUUACAUUUAGAAAAUAUUCCAAUUCAAAGGUCGAGGGAAUUAUUUUGGAACUGGUAAAGAAA
rnacentral:lncRNA from 1 species